AUUAAAUUAUUUUUAUUAUUUAUUUUAUAAAUUAUUUUAUUCAGGUUUGCAUUCAAAAUGUGUGUGUGAAUGGCUUGAGUUAUCAGAUUUCUAUACAUUUGAGAAUUUAAUUUAGUAGAUAUUUAGCGAAAGAUCUUCUGCCUUUUUGGGCCCUACAUUCUAUAACAAAACACAUUUAGCUUGUAAAUGUUAUUUUUUUAGAGUUUGAAAGGAAUUUACGGUUGUGUUUAAUGUAAUAUCUGUCGGUGAAUGUUGGGAUGUACAGCAAAACUUAUUUGCUCCACACAUCACAACGAUGCUACUCGUGAAAUUGCUGUGGAAAACAUGGAAAUGUUCUAAAGUAAAAUUCUAAAGCUCUAAAAUUCCCAGGUGUUAAAUUGAUCUCGUAAUGCUUGGCAGAGGUUCUUUCGUGUGGAAAAGCUUUCCGUUCCACAGAAGCAGAAUUACCUGACAUAGAUCAUUGUAGGAGUAGAGGUACAGGUGUAUUGAGCAAAUUAAAAGCAAAUUAUCACCAUGUACAUAUCUAGACAUUUUCCGAGGCAAUUUUUCAGUGCAGUUAUUCUUAUAAUAGCAAACAUGUAUUAUUACUAUAACCGUUAUAUAACUAUAUUACAAACUAAUAAAGGCACACAUUAAGCGGUUGGCUUAAAAUCCGCAAACAAAAAGAAGCUUGAACCUCGGCUCCAUCCAUGACACCACCUGGUUAAACCUCUUUAGAAGAGGGACUAAUGCGCGCAGUGACUGAGUGUACUUGAACGCGGCACGGGCAGUUAUGCCAUCACGCGGCCGCCCUCAUCUGCCGUGACAGCCAGGCCCCUGGUGGCAUAUGGCGCAAAUGAGGCCAGUAAGCCCAAACGGCCUCCGAGCGCCUAGACAAAAAGAUCCCAGUGGGACGCUAAGUGCGUGUUACGUCCUUACACCUCCCUGCUCGGGCCCCAUGGAGUCAUUAUGUGGGAAAUGGCUCCACCUUCCGGCCGUCGUGCCCACGCGUCCUGAGUGGUGUGACGGGUCCACACAGCCGUGUUAGGAACACAUUGUACUCUGAGGGAUCCGUUGAGAGCUCUUCUUGUUCUUCUUUUUUUCAAACUGGAUACAGUCAGAGUUGGAGCGAGAGGCAUGCUGGGAGAUGAGGGGGAGGAGCGGUGGGGGUAAUGCGUUAGUAAAGUCUACUUGAUGAUGUCAUCCAAAGAGUUUAUUUAUUUUGAGUGCUGGAACUUUUUUUAUUCAUAUUAUUUCCCGAAGAUUUAUCUAGAUUCAUCCAUCCAUCUUCAGCCGCUUAUCCGGGUCGGGUCGCGGGGGCAACAGCUCCAGCAGGGGACCCCAAACUUCCUUUUCCCGGGCCACGUCUACCAGCUCUGACUGGGGGAUCCCAGCCACUCUCCUGAGGAAACCCAUUUCAGCCGUUUGUACCCGUGACCUAGUUCUUUCGGUCAUGACCCAUCCUUCAUGACCAUAGGUGAGGGUAGGAACGAAGAUUGACCGGUAGAUCGAGAGCUUUGCCUUCCGGCUGAGCUCUCUUUUCGUCAAAACGGUCUGGAUUCAAUAUUGGCCACUGAAUAUUCAAUCGUUGUUUCCUCCAUCCCAAAUGGACAAGUUAGGGUAAAAUACUCUACAUGCCUACAUGUUGUGGCUUAGACUGCUUUAAACAGUUAAAUAUUGACUUAACCUGGCCGGUUUGAAACAUUAGGGUCACGGAUUGGGAUUCGUGGCAUGAGUCUUCUCACAGUCCUGCUGAGUCCUAAGUCGUUUAGAUUUUCACUGUAAUGUUACUGAUCCAGUGAACGCAUUUUAGUCAGUGUGAUGCAGUGGCUCCUGUCUCUGGUAAAAAAUACCUCUCCAGGGGACAAUGUGGAUGCUAUUUUGUCCUUAUGCCUGGUGAAUUAACUGGAGCUCGUCUCAAACAUCAGUUUGUCAGUGAAAGCGGGAUUACAGGCGCCUACCAGUGCUGUUUGACAGUGGAGAGCCUUAAAUCAAACCAACCCUCAUGAAAGGUUCUCAGUUACUAAAGAGAAAUCCGUUCACUGGCUUUCAAUACACAGAUGCUUAAAUAAAUCAUUAAAACACAAAUAUUGAUUGCAAAAAUAAUCAAUGAGCCAACUAUGAAAUAUGACUUUCUUGUUUUAAAUGUUUGUAAGUGUAUUUUAUUUGAUUCAAUUAUUAAUUCUCUGGUUGCUUGAAAAAAUAAUUUUCACCAGCUUUUUCAUAUCAUGAACCUGCCUUUUAGCGAUUAUUGAUUGUUUUAGUUGAAAGGGAAUUUACACUUGUGAUUGUCCUACUAAAGUGUUCUGGGUGUGUUUCUUUCAUCACUAGAGGGCAGCUGUGUUAAACGGUUGGGAGCUUGAUGAGAAUGGAUGUUGCACAUGGGGAAUGGCUCUUACAGGCAACGCUUUGAAUGUAAUGUACUAUAUCCUUAUUAUUUACACGUAGUGACCCAGCCCAUACACAUUAUAAACUCACAUGCUUUUCAAAACACGUGACAUGCCAUGAAAUCUGCAAGUUCCCAGGGAUUUGGCCCUUUCAAUUUAAUACACUCAGGUGGUUUUACUCACACCUAUAAGGGAACCACGGUUUUCACAAUUCAAAAAGUAAAGCACACAAUUAAUUUAGCUAUCGCUAAUGUUAUCAGCUUUUCCACAUACACGAACCCCAAAUGAUGAUACUCCUACUUUUGGCUGAGCUGGUUGUUCAUUUGCAUCUAGAUGAGUAAAGACAGUACGUUUCAGUUAAUUCAAAUGUUGAAGGAAUCCAUGCACUGAAAAUGGUGUAGAAAGAAGGGCUCAACCUCGGGAAAGGCUCCAUUUAUCUCCCAUAAAGUUACUUAUUAGCAGCUUAUCGGGUCAGUGAGGUUGAACACUGCGCUUAGAAGAAAACCUGCAGUUCAGUGUGCUCACGCACACAGGGGGAAUGUUUAAUCUCCACACCAACACACCAUGCCAACACCGCAGUCCCAACAGAGUUUGUCCACAGCAAAACAAUAUCCAGUUUUGGAGAGCUUCAGGUGGUCAGCAGGCAAACUGCCUGUUUCCUGAAGUAUUUAUGACAAUGUCAAAAAGGUUGAAGCUGAGGCGGCCGUGGUUUCACACAACAAUGUGGAAGGGGCGGCGGAAAGUCUGAAACAAACCUGUCCUCCUUCGCCCUCAAGGGACAAGGCAGCUGUGAAGAGACAGGGAGAAUCAUCCUACUCUUUGUGAAACAUGCAGUAGGCCCCUCAGGGGUGUUUGGAAACAAUGGGUCAGUGGUGCUUGCGGGGCGAAGCUGUGGACGUUAACAUUACUACUUUCCUGUCAAUCACUAUCGCAGGUCAAGCAGAAAGGGGUCUUUACGUCAGAUGAGGUGGUUUUAAUUCGCUGUAAACCAGCCGUCAUGGUAUCGGCACAUGAUUACACACUAGAAAAACAGCUGAAAAACUGAUGCUGAAAUGCUGGACUUUGUUUAUGUUGCAUGGGCUAGAAAUAAGCUUGAAAGAAGGCAGCAAACUCGUUUGUCCAAAAAAUAAUAAACUCAUAAGCAGUUUCUUAUAAAAGGACCUGCAGUUUCAGACAGCAAAACCGCAAAAGUGCGUUUGUUUGUGUAUUGUAUUCUUAAGUGGUUUAAAAAAAAGUAAAAAAUCAAAAUGUAGCGUAUUUAUCUCACUCACAGUUAAAAAAAGAAUAAUCGUAUUCUGAGAUGGAGUAUGCUUCAAUAGGUUUACAUCAUUCGGUAAAGUGACACUCAGGUGAGCCCGAGGCCCCGCCCCCAGCAGAACGGGCGCUCUCAUUGGCUGAUUUGAACAGCGCUGCCCACAACACACAGCAGCGGAGCGCUUGAGUGAUUCCCGACAACUGGAGGACCAACUCAAGAUUUCCACAAGGAAACAAAACAGACGUUCUGCUUAAACUCCCCAGCCUUCAGUGUUUCGGUCACCUCUUCUUUGAACGGCCACUCGAUGACGCAACAACAGCUGUGUAGAACUCCUGACAGCGCGGCCUGAAAACCCGCCAGAGCUCCUGGAACUAAAACCAUGCUUACAGGGAGGUGACGGAGGAAACGGCCCCCUUUCCAGAUGGAAUGGCGGAGCUGGCGGCGGUCUGCUUGUGGAAUGUGUGUGGUUGUGCUCGGUGUCAUGGUGGCGCUGCCUGCCCUUUCCAGCGUGCCACCCCCAAGUUCACCACCACCAUAAAACAUGUUUUGUCUUAUUUUGGCUCCUAUUCUGUCUUCCUCCUCUGCUUGACAUUUGGCUGUGGGAGGGGAGGUGGGGGGGCUGUCCCCGUGGCAGAUGCACACACUAGAGUCCACUGCCAAAGAUUUGCCCUUUAUGUCCCGUGUUGUUCAGAGGGAGCCUUUUCUAACGCCCGCGUGCUGAAAAGAAUCCAGUCUGGAUUGCCCUCUUUUUGAAGUCCUAAAUGUUGCUGGUUGGUCACUGUCUUUCCACUUCGUAGCCUUCAGGAUGUUGGUGUAGAAGACUAUUGAAAUCCUCUCAGGCUUGUUAUAGAUCAACCGUCAUUCGCAGCGCUUCCAUUCACCGGCCAAUCGGGUUUUAAGAGACCCAAGAAAGAAAUGCUGAUUCCAUCCAGCUGAUAAACAGCUGAUCUCUGAUUCUGAAGCCUGCCAUAGACUGUUUGAACCGCACAAGGUAUCGGCGCAUGUUGUGGUUUCAGUUCUUCGUUCAUUGAAGAGUCCACUUAUUUCCGUUGUGCACGACCCGGUGGCUUCACCAAAGCAGCCUUGUCGUGGGCCAAGAGGGGACACACACA
ensembl:lncRNA